UACGAGGGGGGCAAAUGUUGUUCGGAAUCACUGGGCGUAAAGGGAGCGUAGGCGGGUUUUUAAGUCAGGUGUUUAAUCCCGGGGCCCAACCCCGGACAGGCACUUGAAACUGGGAAUCUUGAAUAGUGGAGAGGUCAGUGGAAUUGGGGGUGGUAGCGGUGGAAUGCGUAGGAGAUCCCCAAGAACACCCGUUGCGAAGGCGGCCUGACUGGACACAUAUUGACGCUGAGGCUCGAAGGCAUGGGGGAAGGCAAACAGGG
rnacentral:rRNA from 1 species